UACGUAGGGAGCAAGCGUUGUCCGGAAUCACUGGGCCUAAAGCGUACGUAGGCGGCGUCGUAAGUGUCGGAUGAAAUCCCACGGCUUACCCGUGGAACGGUCCGGCAUACUGCGGUGCUAGAGGAUGGUAGAGGAGAGCGGAACUCUUGGUGGAGCGGUGAAAUGCGUAGAUAUCAAGAGGAACACCGGUGGCGAAGGCGGCUCUCUGGUCCAUGUCUGACGCUGAGGUACGAAAGCCAGGGGAGCAAACGGG
rnacentral:rRNA from 1 species